GUACAACUCUGAGCGGUGGAUCACUCGGCUCGUGUGUCGAUGAAGAGCGCAGCCAACUGUGUGAAUUAAUGUGAACUGCAUACUGCUUUGAACAUCGACAUCUUGAACGCACAUUGCGGCCAUGGGUUUUCCUGUGGCCACGCCUGUCCGAGGGUCGGCU
rnacentral:rRNA from 1 species